UUUUUGUUCUGGGGUUAUGGGGGCGUGGUGCAGACCCAAAUGCAUUGUCCAGUCAUAUGCCGACUACACUGGUCACAUGGGAAAGAAAAUCGAAUUCCAAUCGCAUUAUCUGGGCGUCUUAAUCGGAGUUCUCCGACUCCAAUCGGAGUUUUUAAACUCCUAUAAUGGUAGGACUUAAGUGUUUACAUGCACUUCAGCUGUCCGGUCUUAAUCAGAUUAAGGCAAUAAUUUGGUUUUCUCGAGUGUCAUGUAAACGUACCAACACAGUACGUUGAUUCAAAAGUUAGCCUACUUGAACUGUUGAUUGCAUUACUGUUAGCAGGAUAAUGACCCUUACUCUGCUUGGUGAACAGCAGCAGGUGGGCUGCACUCAUUUUGGAAACACAGCUCAUAGCAAUCCCAGUGCAUCAAAAUCAAUAAAUAAGUCUUCCUAUCAUGAGAGGAGCAAUGCAUAACUGAGCACAAUGCACUGUGCUGUAACUUUAUUGAUUACCUCUCUCUGCAGACAGAAACACAGACAGGAUCAGUCAGAAUCUUAUGUAAGCAAAUGAAAUGAGUUUUCCAAAAAGUCAGUCAGAGUUCAUACAGCAAAUGCUUUGGAGUGAAACAGCACUUUUUAGAUAUUAACAUAGGUAUUGACAUUCAAUUGAUCAUGCUGCCAUGUGAUGAUAUUAACGUUUUGAAAGAAAGAAGAGGCAGAUUCUCAAGGCACACAAACAACAGAACCAGUGAAGAGAGAUGACACACCACUAUUUCCUCAGGGGCUGCCAAAACCAACAAAGAAGCUUCUCACACAAGCUUUAAUGAAUCACAUAAACCAAGAGUUACUGCUUACCACAGAAAAAAAAGGUGCUGUUUAGAUGUCGCCCUGUUUGCGUCAUCUCACAGAUAUUUACAUCAUUGCUCCCUGGUUGCUUUCCUGCAGCCAUGUUCGAGCUGUUACUCCAGAUGCUUGAUAUUUUAACUUCCCUCCAGCUAAACUCCUGAGGAGGGGCUUUUUAUUCAUCAACAUCAUAAAGUUUAUUUCAGCCAAAUAAAGUCUUCAUCCGGAUAAAAGAUGCAAAAGCAACAAAAGAGACUUGUUGAGUUUUUAUGUCUUCUCACAGCAAAGUUCAAAAGGAUCUAAAAUUGAUUAGUAAUUAUCUGUACUCACAUGAAACACAGGUGCCACAGUAUCACUCAUGACACUAAUGAUUCUCUCUGAUGGGACCAAUAUAUCUUUUGUACACCUCAUUUAGUCUGGUGUGAAACUGAAGGCAGUCAUGACAACGCCCCUUCUGAAAUUGAAUUUGCUGCCACGUGAUGCAACUUCCACUUCAGGGGCAGUUUUUGGACGCCAGCCCUCAAAAACACUCGUCAUGUAUCUAAACAAAAGUCAAUGAGUCUUUGACCUCUUUAAAGCAUAAUUCAUACAGAUUGAAGUGAAAAGAGGAUAGGAUCUCCUGUAUGAUCAGUAUAUGUCACAAGACAGAGAAAUCAUCCAAUGUAACUCUUAUCUAGCUUGUAUAAUUUAAUUCAAAACCAAUAGCACAGGAUCUUUACUUUGUCAUGAACGGACCUCUUUUCUCUGUAAGGAAAUAACUUCUGAUUAUAGAUUAAUCUAAAAACUUUAAAAGCAUGUUAAUUAAAUUUACUGAAACUCAUACUGAUGCAAUUUUAGGAUAAACAAAGGCAAAUCAAAGGAACAAGACUGACUAACCCCCAAUUUCUACCGCA